rnacentral:lncRNA from 1 species
GUCCUGAUGCUUAUUCAUGGGGCAAUUGAUGCCGCCCUUUUCUGAGCCUUCCCAUCUACUAUGAAAGACAUAGCUCAGCAUUGAUACAUAAGUUUGAAGCCAUGAACAAUCCACUCCUUCAACCAGAUGAGCCGAUGGUUCGUGAGUCACUUCGUAAGUAGCAGGAAGCAGUAGAAAGAAUCAGACUCCCUGAUCAACAUCAAGCAGA